GCCUCCGUAGCUUAGUAGUAUAGCGCGACAUUGGUAAUGUCGAGGUCGAGGGUGCAACUCCCUUCGGAGGCU
rnacentral:tRNA from 1 species